AUGGUCUUAGCUUGCUAAGGCUGAUGGCGACCGGCGCACGGGUGAGUAACACGUAUCCAACCUGCCGUCUACUCUUGGCCAGCCUUCUGAAAGGAAGAUUAAUCCAGGAUGGGAUCAUGAGUUCACAUGUCCGCAUGAUUAAAGGUAUUUUCCGGUAGACGAUGGGGAUGCGUUCCAUUAGAUAGUAGGCGGGGUAACGGCCCACCUAGUCAACGAUGGAUAGGGGUUCUGAGAGGAAGGUCCCCCACAUUGGGACUGAGACACGGUCCAAACUCCUACGGGAGGCAGCAGUGAGGAAUAUUGGUCAAUGGGCGAUGGCCUGAACCAGCCAAGUAGCGUGAAGGAUGACUGCCCUAUGGGUUGUAAACUUCUUUUAUAAAGGAAUAAAGUCGGGUAUGCAUACCCGUUUGCAUGUACUUUAUGAAUAAGGAUCGGCUAACUCCGUGCCAGCAGCCGCGGUAAUACGGAGGAUCCGAGCGUUAUCCGGAUUUAUUGGGUUUAAAGGGAGCGUAGAUGGAUGUUUAAGUCAGUUGUGAAAGUUUGCGGCUCAACCGUAAAAUUGCAGUUGAUACUGGAUGUCUUGAGUGCAGUUGAGGCAGGCGGAAUUCGUGGUGUAGCCGGUGAAAUGCUUAGAUA
rnacentral:rRNA from 1 species